UCAUCUUUAGUUUAUCUAGAAUGGCGGUCUUGUAAAUCGCAGGGGCAGGCAAUUCUGCAGGGUGAU
rnacentral:tRNA from 1 species